AUAACAGUCAAGUUGGUUGUAACAUCCACCUGUGCUAAUACCCCUCUUUCCAGGCUUUAUCACCCACAGAAUGUGGCUUCCCGUUUAACAGUAGUGCCUUCCAGACAGCAGCUCGUUGGGCCCAACACAGAGGUUCAACUAAAUAAACACCAAAACCCUGCUGAGGUGGUGACUAUGGAAAGAGGAGUAAAGGUGGAAAAAGUUGUGAUGAUGGCAGAAACCAAAGGGAAAAUCAAUCCCAAUAGUUUCCUGUCUGAACCUUCCCCAAUACUAACCUCUC